GUCUACGGCCAUACCACGCUGAACGCACCCGAUCUCGUCUGAUCUCGGAAGCUAACCAGGGUCGGGCCUGGUUAGUACCUGGCUGGGAGACAAUGUUGGUUCUGCCUGGCCAGGAGCCU
rnacentral:rRNA from 1 species